CUCUGUUUCUUCCAACUUGCUUUAUUCUCUGUGUGGUUUUGAUCUCUCCUAUUAGGUUCUCCUCAAAUAUCUGGUUCUAUACUCAUUUAAGAAUGGGUACUAAUAAGCUGAUGGGAAACUCUGUGAACCUGGUUAGGACUUGUUGACUGUUGGUCUCCCAGCAGGGAGAUUGACUAGGAGGUUUAAUUGGGAAAUUACUAAUGUCAGUACCCUUUGGUCAUUUUCUUUUAUACUGUUCUUAUUUUCCAGAAAAGAAUCUCCUAGUAUUCUAUCUGGAGGAUAGAUGCAUCACUGAAAAUGUUCUGAGAUCCAACUGGGAACAGUGUGAUGGAUUUCAAGAUUCUUUUCUUCUAGCACAUUCUGGGCACUGGAUCCAGGCACCUGCAAGAGUGUAGCAUCCUUCCCAAAGAAGCCUCUUUGCUGCAUCCGGAAGCCCCGUGCUGGGUACACUGCGGAGCAUACACACAAUGGAUUGCUUCCCAGUACCUCUAGUAUUACAUGAUAUCUGAAAUUCCAGCAUAAGGUGAGUUAGGUAGGAAAUGACCACCUGAAAAAAAUUCUAAAAAUCGUUGUGGAUUGUAAAACUUUUAGAUAAUCUGCUUACGCGAUCUUUGUUCUUUCACACUUUAUUGACUGCAAAGACCCCUACCCAGGUGUUUUCUCUGCUUUGCUUCUCAUUUCAAAAGGAUAUGGCUUAUGGAAAGUAAGUUCCAUUUGCAGAAGGGGAAAAGGAGGAUUUUUGUUUCUUUUCAUUGCAGGUCAGAACUACAUGAAUAGUGACACCUUAACAAGCUGAGUAAUCAAUCUUCAACAGUGGGGUAUUUUUUGUGGACCCAGAGGAUUUAAUUGGACAGGAGCAUUUUAUAAAGACCAAGAAGUUUCUGACAAUAAUAACAACUACCCAUUGACAUUUAUACAGUACUCUGUAGUUGAUAAAGUAUUUUCACAAGUUUCAUGUAGAUUCAUCUCCAGCAUUUAAUGUACUUUAAAAAAGCAACAGCUGACACUCACUGAGUCUUGCUAUAUGUUGGGCAGUUACAUUUAACCCAUUAAAUGAAGCAGUUUAUUAAUCUCCCAAGACAUCCUUAUGUUUUCUCCAUUUUAUAGAUGAGAAAACUGAGGCUCAAAGAAAUUAAAUGACUUCCCCCAAUCAGUCAUUCACACCCACAUGGCCUGCAAAUGGCUGUAGUUGAAUUACUGCCUAAGAGGCUAAUCCUCACCUUGGUAUUUGCAUUGUCUUGAUGGGGUGAGGAGUGAGUUGUCUCUUUCCUUACCUUAUUAAGUGUUCUGUGAAUUCUCACUUCUGCAGGGUCCUAGGUAUUCUAUGGGAAAAAAGGAGGCUUCUGCCUCAGGUGAGUUUCUGAACUGCUGAGCUACACAAAACUAAAUACGUAUUUUCCCUUUUUAAAAAGUUGCUUCUUGGGAGCUUCAUGUUUCUUCAUCCACAUAUUGGGGAUGCUGACCUGGACUUUUCUUGGGGGGAGACAGAGCUGGAAGGUCAGUCACUUUGGCCUUCUAAAGUCUGGCAACUCUUCUCUUGUGAUCAUAGAAGUAGUUGAGAAAACAUUGAAAGUGGCUUAACUUAGAAAAAGUAUAUCAAAAACAAUACUGCCCAGAGCCACACCCUGUAUCUGUUGUCUCCCCAUUUGCAGCUUCAGUUUCUGCCCUCCCUGUCAGGGCACCUCCCAGAACUCACCCCACCAUCCCCACAGCAGCCCAGGGAGGAUGUGGGAUCUGGUAGGUAGAUGACUUUGAGAUAAACUCCCAUCUCUACUGCCCUCCAGGAAUGUGAACUUUGGUAAGUUACUUGCCCUCUGUGCUUCCAUUUUAAUGUCUAUGAUAUUGGAUAUAACGAUACCUACUUGGUAUGGUGGUUUAAGAAUUAAGAGUCUAUAAGAAAGCUGCUAGUAUGAAGUCUGGGACUGAGUAAGUGAUCAGUAAUGGUAGCUGUUGUGGCAAGCUAGAAAUAGGGCCUUCAAAAUAGAAGCUGAUCUUUGCUCUGGCCUUGGCGCUGGCAUAGGAAAGGGAUUUAGUAAAUAUUUGCUUUGCUGACUCUCAGUAGUGUUUUACAUUAGCAAGAGAUUUCCACGUUGUCCUUUAACCAAAAAGUUAAAAAACGUAAUGUAUUUCUCAUACAUAGCAGUAGGAGCAUAGUGGACAAUCUUUAUGGGAAUCCUUUUGGUGUAUCCUUAGCACGAUACGUGAUUUUUUUUUUUUUUUUUGAGACGGAGUUUCGCUCUUGUUACCCAGGUUGGAGUGCAAUGGCACGAUCUCGGCUCACCGCAACCUCCGCCUCCUGGGUUCAGGCAAUUCUCCUGCAUCGGCCUCCUGAAUAGCUGGGAUUACAGGCACAUGCCACCAUGCCCAGCCAAUUUUUUGUAUUUUUAGUAGAGACCGGGUUUCACCAUGUUGACCAAGAUGGUCUCAAUCUCUUGACCUCGUGAUCCACCCUCCUCGGCCUCCCAAAGUGCUGGGAUUACAGGCUUGAGCCACCGCGCCCGGCAAUACGUGUUUCUUAACUGACUUAUGAGGAAUGUGAGAU
ensembl:lncRNA